AAAGGUUGCAAUGUACUAACAUUAAUAGUAUUGCAUAGAAAAUGCACAACGUACUAAGAUAAUUUAGUGAUGGAAGACUCUUCAUCAUCCUUCAAAGGCUGCAACAUACUAAGAUUAAUAGUAAUGCAUAGAAAAUGCACAUUGUGGCAAUUUUUGUGGAUACUUCAAGUGUUCUUUGUUUUUUUUUUUCUCUAGAGGAGGGUGUGAAAAUUAUUGUUCACGUAUACUUUUUACUUUUGGAACAUUUAUUGCAUUUAUUCAUUGGUAGAGUUUGUGGUGGAAUUCCUAUUGCUUGCUUGGUGUCUAGGUGGUUGAGUGUCGUCUAUGGAGUGGAUGAGCAUGGUUCCCCCUUUUUCGCUGCACAUAAAUGUAUAACCGAUGGCCUUUUUUAACGAAAGAAUGGUAGAGAUACGUGCGAAGACACAUUGAAGGAUAACAAUCAUGCAUCUUUAGUACCUCUCUAAUUCGUGCCUUUCAAUUUUCAUAUUUUUGGCAGUGGUAGAAGCAAAUCAGCCAUGAUCUUAAACUAAAAUCAGUUGAUGCAAUUAAUGAAUUCAUCAUGAAAGUGCUAGCAUACUAGCUUUACUUCCUGUUGUGUUCUUUUUAUCACUAUGCACCUCCGUUUUGCAAUUAUAUGCUGGAAAUUGGAGCGUUUCUUUCACAACGAUGCUUUAGCUAAUCUAGAAGUAUCAUGUCUAUCUUAGUAGGUUGUAAGCUUCUCUGUUUCCUAUUUGCAUUUGUUUUAGAAAUCAUAGCGUGUGUAUGCCAUGGGUGAUGUAUACCCAAAAUAUGCAAAACUUCCCAAGGGUCAAUACAGUUUACAGUUUUAUCUGAGGCAUGACGAUGUGCAAUACUAGGAAAAGAUGAAGCAGCUACUACUGUUCAUUGAAAGAAAAUUGGAGGACAAGGUAGUGGCUUAUUUUAAGAAACAUCCGAAAUGUGGUGAAUUGCUUCCAAAGGAGCAACUGCUAUUAGCAUGUUUUUAAGAAUAUGUGUAGUGCUUGUUUGUCUGCAUUUUCAGCAUCUUCAAUUAAUUUCUUUUUUGUUGCCAAUCGCAUUCAUGAGCUGCAUAAACCAUGUGAGAUAAGAAUUAUCAAGUUAUCGACUUUGCCUUCUCUUUGUCAUCAGUACACUGAUAUCUUGAAUUGCAAUUAUCUUUGUGGAAGAAUAUAAUUGUGAUAGUCCUAUUUGAUGACUUGAUUUAGUGCAAAGUAUACUUGCAUACUGGGUUACUGUAAAAAUCAAUACAAAGAUACUUAUGAGCUUCACUAUUCUAUUUGCUGAUGUCUUAGUUGGGAACUCCUUAGUAGUACGCUUAUGUUGGUACUCAUUGAAUCUCACCAAAUGCCUAGCUGGUAGGCUUUUCAUGAGAUAAAUUGUGCGUACCUUAAUUGACCUUCCGCUUCAAUAAUUCUCGUAUUGCCUCUCAUAUGUUAGUUGUGAUAAUGUGUGUUGCAUUGCACAUCACUCUACAGCCACUCAAUGUGUUCCCUUUUCAUCAUUCGCAGACCAACACGUUUUUAACAAAUAUUUUACAGAAUCUGUGUAGACUCUUUAGCCACAUAAAACGUUCUUGAAAAUAAUUUGAUGAUAUUAUGCAUCAUUUUUUACUCGCAUAAUGCACUAUUGGUAUAUGCUAGUCCAUUUCCUUUGGAAGUUCUGUUCCACAUGAGACAUGUUCCACGUAUGACUGGAUAUAAGAAAUGAGCUCUACUUUAUAGAUGUGAGGCGUGACAUAGGAUAUCAGAUUACUAGCUUGCUUGUGGAUGCUAUUAAAUUCAUCAAAUGCAAAAUGUUACCUGUAUAUUGUUUCUGAAAAGCAUUAGGACCAUUAUUGCAUAAUGGAGAAGAGAAAUUAUUAAGUGGAAAUUUAAUCGUAUUCUGUCAGCUACACUGUCUCAUUAAUCUGUCACUCCCUCAUCACCUGUCUUAUAGUUUUGUUUCAUCACUGCCUCUACUCUCAAGUUUCAUAUCAAAUAUAUGUUAAAAGGUUUCAAAACGGAUAGGCAUUGUGGUAUCACUCCUUUACCAUACUACUCUUCAUCAGUCUCAAAUAUGUAAUUUCGGAAAGAUCUACUGCACAUCAGCUUGUAAUUUAUGUUUAAAUGGUCUUGCGAUUACUUCAUAAUCCAGGAAGUCAUUCGCCUGAGCUUUUAUUCUCAACCAGAUGGCCCAGUGAUGGGUAACGAUAGCUUUUAAAUCCUUUAUUUUAGUGCCUAGGUAUGUAGCUUUCUUCAUGAAACUAUGUACGAUAGUUGUCACUAUUCUGAUAACAUACUAACUACUGCGUUUUUUGUUUUAAGAGUGAGGCAUUUUAUGUGGGGCCACCAACCAAAGACAAGCUCCCAAUGAACUGUCCUGAAGGAUCUGUGUUGCUUGGAGCAAUCUCAUACGGAAAGGUCUCAUUUGAUGGUUAGGAGAGGAACAAUCUAGAAAAGAACCCAGUAUCGCAUCAGAUAUCUAUUCAAUGCCACCAAAUAAGGUUAAUAGAUUCAUGGCUCCCGUGAUACCUACAUCUGAGUUGUCAUGGUUCAUGAAAAUGUUUUUGUACUAGUUAAGUGACUAGGAAUUGGGGAUGUAUGUUUGGUUGGGGAAGAAGAAGAAAAAGAACAUAUAGUAAAAAACCUUUAAUGUCAAAUGAUUUCCUAGUUAGAGCA